rnacentral:rRNA from 1 species
UACAGAGGAUGCAAGCGUUGUUCGGAAUUACUGGGCGUAAAGGGCUCGUAGGCGGCCAACUAAGUCAGACGUGAAAUCCCUCAGCUUAACUGGGGAACUGCGUCUGAUACUGGAUGGCUUGGAUUCGGGAGAGGAAUGCGGAAUUCCAGGUGUAGCGGUGAAAUGCGUAGAUAUCUGGAGGAACACCGGUGGCGAAGGCGGCAUUCUGGACCGAUAUUGACGCUGAGGAGCGAAAGCCAGGGGAGCAAACGGG